GCGAUGGUAGUUUAGUGGUUAGAAUGGGGCGUUGCCAACGCUCUGACCUGGGUUCAAAUCCCAGCCUUCGCA
rnacentral:tRNA from 1 species